rnacentral:rRNA from 1 species
AUUGAACGCUGGCGGCAUGCCUUACACAUGCAAGUCGAACGGCAGCACGGGAGUAAUCCUGGUGGCGAGUGGCGAACGGGUGAGUAAUGCAUCGGAACGUGCCCAGUCGUGGGGGAUAACGCAGCGAAAGCUGUGCUAAUACCGCAUACGAUCUAUGGAUGAAAGCGGGGGAUCGCAAGACCUCGAGCGAUUGGAGCGGCCGAUAUCAGAUUAGCUAGUGGGUGGGGUAAAAGCUUACCAAGGCGACGAUCUGUAGCGGGUCUGAGAGGACGACCAGCCACACUGGAACUGAGACACGGUCCAGACUCCUACGGGAGGCAGCAGUGGGGAAUUUUGGACAAUGGGCGCAAGCCUGAUCCAGCAAUGCCGCGUGCAGGAUGAAGGCCUUCGGGUUGUAAACUGCUUUUGUACGGAGCGAAAAGGCUCUCUCUAAUACGGGGGGCUCAUGACGGUACCGUAAGAAUAAGCACCGGCUAACUACGUGCCAGCCGCCGCCGUAA